UCUACUUACGCAGAGGGAGACUCACAGAACUAAAAUCGUUAGAUGCCUACUACGUGCCAGGGAACUUGUGUACGUCAUCACUUUGCAGAUGGAUAGUAUCAUCUGACCCACAUUCCAUAUUCUUCUGCUUCAAUAAAGUUUGCUAAUGGAUUAUGGCUAAACAUUGAAGUUAAUGGUGCCUCGCAUAGCAUAGGUACCUCAGUAAGAUCAACUGUAAUGAUUAUGUCUGCAUUGUCCUAUCAACCUGAUAUGUUCUGUAAAUAAGUAUGUCUUCAACCCAUGGCCUGGCCUAGAGAAUGUAGGGGGUGACCUUAAAAGGCCAAGAAUCCAGGACCUAGAGAGAGACCUAUGGGUGCUGGGUGCUU
rnacentral:lncRNA from 1 species